rfam:Dipodomys ordii contig_30352, whole genome shotgun sequence.
GUGGCUCAAUGGUAGAGUGCUUGCCUUGCAUGCAUGAAGCCCUGGGUUCAAUUCCUCAGC